rnacentral:rRNA from 1 species
GUGCCAGCAGCCGCGGUAAUACGUAGGUCCCGAACGUUGCGCGAAUUUACUGGGCGUAAAGGGUCCGUAGGCGGUCUGGUAAGUGGAAGGUGAAAUCCUGGGGCUCAACUCCAGAAUUGCCUUCCAAACUGCCGGACUUGAGGCAGGGAGAGGUCGGCGGAAUUCCCGGUGUAGCGGUUAAAUGCGUAGAUAUCGGGAGGAACACCAGUGGCGAAGGCGGCCGACUGGAACUGACCUGACGCUGAGGGACGAAAGCCAGGGGAGCGAACCGGAUUAGAUACCCGGGUAGUCCUGGCCGUAAACGAUGGAUGCUAGAUGUGGGCGGGGAGACCCGUCCGUGUCGCAAGCUAACGCGUUAAGUGCCCCGCCUGGGGAGUACGGUCGCAAGGCUGAAACUCAAAUGAAUUGACGGGG